rnacentral:rRNA from 1 species
UACGUAGGGUGCAAGCGUUGUUCGGAAUUACUGGGCGUAAAGGGCGCGUAGGCGGCCUGUUAAGUCGAACGUGAAAUCCCUGGGCUCAACCCAGGAACUGCGUCCGAUACUGGCAGGCUUGAAUCCGGGAGAGGGAUGUGGAAUUCCAGGUGUAGCGGUGAAAUGCGUAGAUAUCUGGAGGAACACCGGUGGCGAAGGCGGCAUCCUGGACCGGUAUUGAUGCUGAGGCGCGAAAGCCAGGGGAGCAAACGGG